CCAAACAAAGUCUCCUGGUCCUUGUCCUCGUCCUCGUCCUCGUCGUAGCUCAUGCAUUUUCGGGGAGACCGCUGUCAUAUAUCGCAUCUCGAUAGCGAGAAUACUGGAGUGCUCUCUGCCAUCCCAGCCGAAAGCGCACGCACACGCAGGACACAGAAGAGGCCGACGAAGAGGCAGAGGCAGCAGCAGGACAUGUGGGAGGUGGAAAGUGGAAGGACACCCAACUAACGGCAUGUGCAACCCUUUUCCACGUGUGUGUAUACAUAUACCUACACAGAUGCAGAUACAGAUGUGUGUACCAGUCAGCUGAUACACUUAUCAGUCGUAACUCGCAACGAUGGAAAUUGCUGGGAGGGAGAGGGAAACCUGCCGCUGCUGUUGCUGCUGCUACUGCUGGUAAUGCAAUCGGGAGAUACGCAUUCGAUACGCUGUGAGAACACUCGAAAUUUGCCAAAUAAACACAAAUAAUUCUCACGUUUCUCCGAUGAUUCAAUGACCGCUUGAUGACUGUGUCCAGCCUUUGGCGAAUCUCAAAUUACUUGCGUAGUACGGCUUCUAGCAUCUAUUCGGGGAUUGAUCACGAGUCAUGUGCCUUAAUCGGACCGACUAGCGGCGCUUAUCAGGACGGUGUACAUGCAUUUCAAGAUCAAAGUUGAAGUCCCCCCUGGAGACAGAGCUCUGUCUGGAUCUUCGACGCCACACUAGAUCUUAUCUGCCGCAGCUUGUUUGCAAUUCACACAUCGACGGCAGCGUUUAGAAGGCAACCACACCACACCCCUCACCCCACACGCCCUGCCACCUGAUCCACCAAACGAUGUGCCAAAAAAUCCCAACCACUUGAACCUGAGGCUAUACCUGUACUCGUGCCCGUGCUCUCCCCGUACGUAUCGCCACCGUUCUACGUUCGUUCUGUGGCAGUGCAAAAACAACUUUUCGAGAGUAGAAAAAAUAAAGCGAAAAUGUUUUAACGCUCCGACGCAUAACGACAACAAACAAAUCGCUUCAUUUAACAAUAAAUAGCUGCCAGCGACGACGUUUCAAAAAAGCAAACACACGAUGAGAAAACAAUCGAUGGAAGAAAUGCUCAACUGAAAAAAUAAUCGCUUACUGAACACGGAAUAAUGUUUGGCAUGUGCCACGCCCAAGGUGCACAAGUGGCACUUGUUGAAGAUCGAAUGGAGUGGAUCGGAUCACACGUGCGUGUGCCCGUUCGGCAAUUAGAUUGAAAGGCCUUCCACCUCUGCUCCGGCACAUUAAUUAUGCCUGCCUGCUCCUGCUCCU